GGAGGGCUCGAGCACGGCUUCCGAGGGCAGCUUUCUCUCCCUCUGGUGGUGGCAGGCCAGGCACAGAGGUGGGUUCUGCAGCCAAAUCCAAUGCCCACAGGCUUUCUUCCAAGAAAGGGUUGGAUCUUCCAUGCAGGUCUUGAGUGCUGUUUAACUGAAAGUUCUCGGGGCCCACUGCGGGACAGAAGUGUCGAUAACCAGCCAUUUCCAGUGGGAUCUCUGGACGGAUUCGGUGAAGCAGCUUGGCUAUGCCACAGCCGGCUUCCCCGCCCUCUCUGUGCAGACUGAGGUGGACUUUGUGCUUAAUUACUAUGCACAUAACCAGAGAGAAGACACACGGAAGCCCAUGUCAUUUUGUUUGGGAAUAAUAGGCAUGAAGCCUGGAAAAUAUCGAUUAGAUCAUCCUGUCCUGCCAAAGCCCGGAGUGAUUUGUGUCCGACCAGUAGGGUUUUCUGCAGCCUGGGACCCGUGUGGGACCCGUGCUCAGCCUCCUGGGAGAUGAGAGCUCCAUGUAUUUCCUUGAGCUCUGCUCUCAUCUUCUGUCUUUCUGCUCAUUCAGUCAUCUGCCUUCCCUCGGGGCAUCGCACCCAGCUCCUGGCCUGAGACCCCGCUCUGUGGCAGGCCUGCCCCGCGCUUGUUCUGGGGUCCAGGCAGUGACAUCAACCGACCCCUGCCCACAG
rnacentral:lncRNA from 1 species